rnacentral:rRNA from 1 species
UACGGAGGGGGCUAGCGUUGUUCGGAAUUACUGGGCGUAAAGCGCACGUAGGCGGGCUGCUAAGUCAGGGGUGAAAUCCUGAGGCUCAACCUCAGAAUUGCCUUUGAUACUGGCGGCCUCGAGUGCGGGAGAGGUGAGUGGAAUUCCCAGUGUAGAGGUGAAAUUCGUAGAUAUCGGGAGGAACACCAGUGGCGAAGGCGGCGAUCUGGGCAGAUACUGACGCUGAGGUGCGAAAGCGUGGGGAGCAAACAGG